rnacentral:rRNA from 1 species
UACGUAGGGUGCGAGCGUUGUCCGGAAUUAUUGGGCGUAAAGAGCUCGUAGGCGGUCUGUCGCGUCGGUCGUGAAAACUUGGGGCUUAACCCUGAGCUUGCGGUCGAUACGGGCAUGACUGGAGUUCGGCAGGGGAGACUGGAAUUCCUGGUGUAGCGGUGAAAUGCGCAGAUAUCAGGAGGAACACCGGUGGCGAAGGCGGGGCUCUGGGCCGAUACUGGCGCUGAGGAGCGAAAGCGUGGGGAGCGAACAGG